GACGAACGCUGGCGGCGUGCCUAAUACAUGCAAGUCGAGCGAAGUUUUUCUAGUGCUUGCACCGGAAAAACUUAGCGGCGAACGGGUGAGUAACACGUAAAGAACCUGCCUCAUAGACUGGGACAACUAUUGGAAACGAUAGCUAAUACCGGAUAAUAGCAUUAACUGCAUGGUUGAUGUUUAAAAGUUGGUUUUGCUAACACUAUGAGAUGGCUUUGCGGUGCAUUAGCUAGUUGGUGGGGUAAAGGCCUACCAAGGCGACGAUGCAUAGCCGACCUGAGAGGGUGAUCGGCCACACUGGGACUGAGACACGGCCCAGACUCCUACGGGAGGCAGCAGUAGGGAAUCUUCCGCAAUGGGCGAAAGCCUGACGGAGCAACGCCGCGUGAGUGAAGAAGGAUUUCGGUUCGUAAAGCUCUGUUGUUAGGGAAGAAUGAUUGUGUAGUAACUAUACACAGUAGAGACGGUACCUAACCAGAAAGCCACGGCUAACUACGUG
rnacentral:rRNA from 1 species